rnacentral:rRNA from 1 species
GCAGUCGACGCUUUGUGGUCCAACUGAUUUGAAGAGCUUGCUCAGAUAUGACGAUGGACAUUGCAAAGAGUGGCGAACGGGUGAGUAACACGUGGGAAACCUACCUCUUAGCAGGGGAUAACACUUGGAAACAAGUGCUAAUACCGUAUAACACUAAUAACCGCAUGGUUAUUAGUUAAAAGAUGGUCUUGCUAUCACUAAGAGAUGGUCCCGCGGUGUAUUAGCUAGUUGGUAAGGUAAUGGCUUACCAAGGCAAUGAUACAUAGCCGAGUUGAGAGACUGAUCGGCCACAAUGGGACUGAGACACGGCCCAUACUCCUACGGGAGGCAGCAGUAGGGAAUCUUCCACAAUGGACGAAAGUCUGAUGGAGCAACGCCGCGUGUGUGAUGAAGGGUUUCGGCUCGUAAAACACUGUUGUAAGAGAAGAAUGACAUUGAGAGUAACUGUUCAGUGUGUGACGGUAUCUUACCAGAAAGGAACGGCUAAAUACGUGCCAGCAGCCGCGGUAAUACGUAUGUUCCAAGCGUUAUCCGGAUUUAUUGGGCGUAAAGCGAGCGCAGACGGUUAUUUAAGUCCGAAGUGAAAGCCCACAGCUUAACUGUGGAAGUGCUUUGGAAACUGGAUAACUUGAGUGCAGUAGAGGAGAGUGGAACUCCAUGUGUAGCGGUGAAAUGCGUAGAUAUAUGGAAGAACACCAGUGGCGAAGGCGGCUCUCUGGACUGUAACUGACGUUGAGGCUCGAAAGUGUGGGUAGCAAACAGGAUUAGAUACCCUGGUAGUCCACACCGUAAACGAUGAG